ACCUCAGUGGUAUAGUGGUAGCACGUGUCUCCGAUAUGAAUGAAACGCGGGUUCGAUUCCGGGCUGAGGCU